GACGAACGCUGGCGGCGUGGAUUAGGCAUGCAAGUCGGACGGUAGGGCUUUAUCGUAAGAUAGAGUUUGAGAGUGGCGAACGGGUGAGUAACACGUAGGAAUCUACCCUUAAGACGGGGACAACCCAGGGAAACUUGGGCUAAUACCGGAUGAGAGUGCGAGAGAUUGCAUUUAAAAGGAUGGCGAAAGUUGUCGCUUAGGGAUGAGCCUGCGGUCUAUUAGUUAGUUGGUGAGGUAAGAGCUCACCAAGGCGAUGAUAGAUAGGCGGCCUUAACGGGUGGUCGCCCACACUGGGAUUGAGAUACGGCCCAGACUCCUACGGGAGGCAGCAGUGGGGAAUAUUGCACAAUGGGGGAAACCCUGAUGCAGCGAUGCCGCGUGGAGGAAGAAGGUUUUCGGAUUGUAAACUCCUGUCUUCAGGGACGAUAAUGACGGUACCUGAGGAGGAAGCACCGGCUAACUACGUG
rnacentral:rRNA from 1 species